rnacentral:rRNA from 1 species
AUUGAACGCUGGCGGCAGGCUUAACACAUGCAAGUCGAGCGAGAGGCGGACGGGUGAGUAAUGUCUGGGAAACUGCCUGAUGGCGGGGGAUAACUCCUGGAAACGGUAGCUAAUACCGCAUACCAUCAGAUGUGCCCAGAUGGGAUUAGCUAGUAGGUGGGGUAAUGGCUCCCCUCGGCGACGAUCCCUAGCUGGUCUGCGAGGAUGACCAGCCACACUGGAACUGAGACACGGUCCAGACUCCUACGGUAGGCAGCAGUGGGGAAUAUUGCACAAUGGGCGCAAGCCUGAUGCAGCCAUGCCGCGUGUAUGAAGAAGGCCUGCGGGUUGUAAAGCACUUUCAGCGAGGAGGCGUUACUCGCAGAAGAAGCACCGGCUAACUCCGUGCCAGCAGCCGCGGUAAUUC